CUCCAGAGCCAGAGCCCAAACCA
rnacentral:misc_RNA from 1 species